rnacentral:rRNA from 1 species
GACGAACGCUGGCGGCGUGCUUAACACAUGCAAGUCGAACGGUGAAGCGCCUUCCUUUUUGGUGGGUGUGGAUGAGUGGCGAACGGGUGAGUAACACGUGAGUAACCUGCCCCCUUCUUCUGGAUAACCGCAUGAAAGUGUGGCUAAUACGGGAUAUUCUGGGUCUGUCGCAUGAUGGGUCUGGGAAAGAUAUUGUUUCGGUGGGAGAUGGGCUCGCGGCCUAUCAGCUUGUUGGUGGGGUGAUGGCCUACCAAGGCGGUGACGGGUAGCCGGCCUGAGAGGGUGGACGGUCACACUGGGACUGAGACACGGCCCAGACUCCUACGGGAGGCAGCAGUGGGGAAUAUUGCACAAUGGGCGCAAGCCUGAUGCAGCGACGCCGCGUGAGGGAUGGAGGCCUUCGGGUUGUGAACCUCUUUCGCCAGUGAAGCAGGCCUGCCUCGUUUGUGGGUGGGUUGACGGCAGCUGGAUAAGAAGCGCCGGCUAACUACGUG